UACGGAGGUGGCAAGCGUUGUUCGGAAUUACUGGGCGUAAAGGGCGCGUAGGCGGCCUUCUAAGUCAGACGUGAAAUCCCCAGGCUUAACUUGGGAACUGCGUCUGAUACUGGGAGGCUUGAGUGCGGGAGAGGGAUGUGGAAUUCCAGGUGUAGCGGUGAAAUGCGUAGAUAUCUGGAGGAACACCGGUGGCGAAGGCGGCAUCCUGGACCGACACUGACGCUGAGGCGCGAAAGCUAGGGGAGCAAACGGG
rnacentral:rRNA from 1 species